CCUACGGGAGGCAGCAGUGAGGAAUAUUGGUCAAUGGGCGGGAGCCUGAACCAGCCAAGCAGCGUGAGGGAAGAAGGUACAGCGUAUCGUAAACCUCUUUUGUCAGGGAACAAAGGCGGGGACUAGUCCCCGGAUGAGGGUACCUGAAGAAAAAGCAUCGGCUAACUCCGUGCCAGCAGCCGCGGUAAUACGGAGGAUGCGAGCGUUAUCCGGAUUUAUUGGGUUUAAAGGGUGCGCAGGCGGCCUGUUAAGUCAGCGGUAAAAGCCCGGGGCUCAACCCCGGCGAGCCGUUGAAACUGGCGGGCUUGAGUUGGAGAGAAGUACGCGGAAUGCGCGGUGUAGCGGUGAAAUGCUUAGAUAUCGCGCAGAACCCCGAUUGCGAAGGCAGCGUACCGGCUCCACACUGACGCUGAGGCACGAAAGCGUGGGUAUCGAACAGGAUUAGAUACCCGAGUAGUC
rnacentral:rRNA from 1 species